ensembl:Mt_tRNA
GGUAAGAUGGCCGAGGGUUAGGCGGUGGGUUGUAGCCCCAAUUACAGAGGUUCAAGUCCUCUUCUUCCCA